UACGUAGGGUGCGAGCGUUAAUCGGAUUUACUGGGCGUAAAGCGUGCGCAGGCGGCCCGUUAAGACAGGUGUGAAAUCCCUGGGCUCAACCUAGGAAUUGCGCUUGUGACUGGCGGGCUCGAGUACGGUAGAGGGGGUGGAAUUCCUGGUGUAGCAGUGAAAUGCGUAGAGAUCAGGAGGAACACCGAUGGCGAAGGCAGCCCCCUGGGCCUGUACUGACGCUCAUGCACGAAAGCGUGGGGAGCAAACAGG
rnacentral:rRNA from 1 species